CCCUCGUGGGCGAUGGCGCCGGAGGCGGCCAG
rnacentral:scRNA from 1 species